rnacentral:rRNA from 1 species
CCGUAGUAAAGUGGCGUACGGGUGAGUAACACGUGGAUAACCUGCCCCUUAAAGUGGGGGGAGUAAACCUGGGGAAAACCCCGGGGCUAAUACCGCAUAACAUCCUGGAGACUUAAGUCAUUGGGAUCAAAGGAGUAAUUCGCUAGAGGAGGGGUCCGCGGCCGAUUAGCUUGUUGGCGGGGUAACGGCCCACCAAGGCAAUGAUCGGUAGCCGGUCUGAGAGGACGCACGGCCACACUGGAACUGACACACGGUCCAG